AGCUCUCUAUCCAUUGAGCUACCUAGUGUGAAUUUUAAAUUCUCUCCAUCUUGCUUGGUCUAGCACCCAGGAAUGUGCACACCCACACUACACGGGCAUGUGCUAGCUAAUGACAAAUCAGAAACAACUAACUGCUCCCCCGGGCUGUCCUAAGCCAAGCUGGAGCCACUUUUAGUGGCUCAUGUGAGACGCAGGAAGUGAGGUAGAGAACAGCCUCUGGAGUUCUCGUCACUUCCUGUGGAGAUGGCAAGGCACCAGUUCUCAAGGAACUUAUUCUGAAACAUUCAGAUUGAGGAUUGAGCUGGUGAAGUCAGCUGAGAUGGAGCUGGCCUGGUGUCACUAGAAUCUUUGCUUGGACAGAUUUUGUGGUUACCUCUCCAUGUCUUUGCAUUGCCCACGCCUUCUCUACAAAGUUUCACCUCUGUACCUCAACAUGGAGUGUAGGCGGCCUUGGGGUGUUGAAGGCCAUAUGCCAGCAGAGCAUCAGCCCUGACAGGCUUCAUCAAAAGGUUGUAAAGGCUUUCAGGGUUGUCUGGCAACAGGCCAAGUAUGCUUUCUGAGGAACAGCUCAGCUAAGUCCAGAGAGG
rnacentral:lncRNA from 1 species